AUGAGCUGCCAAGAAGGCGCCAUCCCGGCGGCGGCGGCGGCGCAGCCGCACGUCCUCCUCGUGUCGUGCCCGCUGCAGGGCCACGUGAACCCGCUACUCCGCCUCGGCCGGCGCCUCGCCGCGAGGGGCAUCCUCGUCACCUUCACCACCCUCCGCCACGCCGGCCUCCGUGCUGCCACCCACCGCGACGGCGUCCGCUUCGAGUUGUACCAGCUGCGCGACCACGACGGCGGCCAGAUGACCCCCGACGACAUGCUGCGGCACGUCGCGGCUGAGGGCCCGGCGGCGCUGGCCGACCUGGUACGGCGCCAGGCCGACGCCGGCCGGCCGGUCUCCUGCGUCGUCAACACCACCUUCGUGCCCUGGGCGCUCGACGUGGCCUGGGAGCUCGGCCUCCCUUGCGCGACGCUCUGGAACCAGUCCUGCGCUGUGCUCUCGCUCUACCACCACUUCUACGACGACGACACGCCGUUCCCGAGCACGGCCGACGACGCACCGGUGGCGCUGCCCGGGCUGCCGGCCAUGUCCUUGCACGAGCUGCCGCUCAUGGUCCGACCCGAGUUCGCGCACAACCUCUGGGGCCAGAUGCUCCGAAGGCAGCUCGUGGAGGUCCGUGGGAGGCAGGCGCCGUCGUGGGUGCUCGUCAACACCUUCCACGAGCUCGAGCGCGACGCCAUCGACGCGCUACGGGCUCGCGACGUCGCCGUCACGCCCGUCGGCCCGCUCCUGGACGACGAUGAACCGGCCGUUGCCGACGAUGACGGCUGCGUCAUGGCGUGGCUCGACGCGCAGCCGCCGCGCUCUGUUGUGUACGUGGCGUUCGGCAGCCUCGUGGACAUCGGGCGGGACGAGACGGUGGCCCUGGCGGAGGGGCUGGCCGGCACGGGCAGGCCGUUCAUUUGGGUGGUGCGCGACGACCUCCUCCACCUCCCGGAGCCCGUCCUCGCCGCAUGCCGAGGAGACACCGGCAGGAUCGUGGCGUGGUGCCCGCAGGGGCGCGUGCUCCGGCACGGCGCCGUCGGGUGCUUCGUGACGCACUGCGGGUGGAACUCCGUCACGGAGGCGCUGGCGGCGGGCGUGCCGGUGGUCGCGUACCCGUGGUGGUCGGACCAGUUCACCAACGCCAAGUUCUUGGUGGAGGAGUUCGGGGUCGGCGUCCGGCUGCCGGCGCCGGUCACGCAGGAUGGGCUCCGUGCGUGCAUCGAGGAGGUGAUGAGCGGGCCGGAGGCAGUGGCAAUCCGGAGGAGGGCGACGGCGUGGAAGGAGGAGGCGGCGGCGGCGCUGGCCGACGGCGGGUCAUCGGACCGGGGCCUCGAGGCCUUCGUUGACUUCGUGCGAGCGCCCGUAGGAUCUGGUGGAGUUGACACGAUUAGCUCGCCGGCAAAGCAGGGAUCAGUCAGUUCGUUAUAA
rnacentral:rRNA from 1 species